CAUAGGUUAAUGAGGCGAACCGGGGGAACUGAAACAUCUAAGUACCCCGAGGAAAAGAAAUCAACCGAGAUUCCCCCAGUAGCGGCGAGCGAACGGGGAGGAGCCCAGAGCCUGAAUCAGUGUGUGUGUUAGUGGAAGCGUCUGGAAAGGCGCGCGAUACAGGGUGACAGCCCCGUACACAAAAAUGCACAUGCUGUGAGCUCGAUGAGUAGGGCGGGACACGUGGUAUCCUGUCUGAAUAUGGGGGGACCAUCCUCCAAGGCUAAAUACUCCUGACUGACCGAUAGUGAACCAGUACCGUGAGGGAAAGGCGAAAAGAACCCCGGCGAGGGGAGUGAAAAAGAACCUGAAACCGUGUACGUACAAGCAGUGGGAGCCUCUUUAUGGGGUGACUGCGUACCUUUUGUAUAAUGGGUCAGCGACUUAUAUUCUGUAGCAAGGUUAACCGAAUAGGGGAGCCGAAGGGAAACCGAGUCUUAACUGGGCGUUAAGUUGCAGGGUAUAGACCCGAAACCCGGUGAUCUAGCCAUGGGCAGGUUGAAGGUUGGGUAACACUAACUGGAGGACCGAACCGACUAAUGUUGAAAAAUUAGCGGAUGACUUGUGGCUGGGGGUGAAAGGCCAAUCAAACCGGGAGAUAGCUGGUUCUCCCCGAAAGCUAUUUAGGUAGCGCCUCGUGAAUUCAUCUCCGGGGGUAGAGCACUGUUUCGGCAAGGGGGUCAUCCCGACUUACCAACCCGAUGCAAACUGCGAAUACCGGAGAAUGUUAUCACGGGAGACACACGGCGGGUGCUAACGUCCGUCGUGAAGAGGGAAACAACCCAGACCGCCAGCUAAGGUCCCAAAGUCAUGGUUAAGUGGGAAACGAUGUGGGAAGGCCCAGACAGCCAGGAUGUUGGCUUAGAAGCAGCCAUCAUUUAAAGAAAGCGUAAUAGCUCACUGGUCGAGUCGGCCUGCGCGGAAGAUGUAACGGGGCUAAACCAUGCACCGAAGCUGCGGCAGCGACGCUUAUGCGUUGUUGGGUAGGGGAGCGUUCUGUAAGCCUG
rnacentral:rRNA from 1 species